rnacentral:rRNA from 1 species
GACGAACGCUGGCGGCGUGCUUAACACAUGCAAGUCGAACGGAAAGACCCUGCGCUUGUGGGGUGCUCGAUUGGCGAACGGGGGAGUAACACGUGAGUAACCUGCCCCUGUCUUUGGGAUAACUUCAGGGAAAUGGGGCUAAUAUCGGAGAUGAGCUCCUGCUGCAUGGUGGGGGAUGGUAAGUUUCGGCGGUGGGGGAUGGACUCGCGGCUUAUCAGCUUGUUUGUGGGGUAGUGGCGUACCAAGGCUUUGACGGGUAGCCGGCCUGGGAGGGUGACCGGCGACCAUGGGCCUGCGAUACGGCCCAGACUCCUACGGUCGGCAGCAGUGGGGAGUAUUGCGCAGUGGGCGGAAGCCUGAUGCAGCAACGCCGCGUGCGGGAUGCCCGCUUUCGGGUUGUAAACCACUUUCGCCUGUGCCGAGGCGUGCGUGACGGUAAUGGGUAAAGAAGCACCGGCUAACUACGUG